rnacentral:rRNA from 1 species
GACGUAGGGCGCGAGCGUUGUCCGGAUUUAUUGGGCGUAAAGAGCUCGUAGGCGGCUUGUCGCGUCGUUCGUGAAAACUUUGGGCUCAACUCCAAGCUUGCGGUCGAUACGGGCAGGCUAGAGUUCGGUAGGGGAGACUGGAAUUCCUGGUGUAGCGGUGAAAUGCGCAGAUAUCAGGAGGAACACCGGUGGCGAAGGCGGGUCUCUGGGCCGAUACUGACGCUGAGGAGCGAAAGCGUGGGGAGCGAACAGG